AACGAACGCUGGCGGCAUGCCUAACACAUGCAAGUCGAACGAGACCUUCGGGUCUAUUGGCGCACGGGUGCGUAACGCGUGGGAACCUGCCCUUAGGUUCGGAAUAACUCCCCGAAAGGGGUGCUAAUACCGGAUAAUGUCUUCGGACCAAAGAUUUAUCGCCUUUGGAUGGGCCCGCGUUGGAUUAGCUAGUUGGUAGGGGAAAAGCCUACCAAGGCGACGAUCCAUAGCUGGUCUGAGAGGAUGAUCAGCCACACUGGGACUGAGACACGGCCCAGACUCCUACGGGAGGCAGCAGUGGGGAAUAUUGGACAAUGGGCGAAAGCCUGAUACAGCAAUGCCGCGUGAGUGAUGAAGGCCUUAGGGUUGUAAAGCUCUUUUACACGGGAUGAUAAUGACAGUACCGGGAGAAUAAGCUCCGGCUAACUCCGUG
rnacentral:rRNA from 1 species